GCUUCUAAUGGUUUGUCUUCAGUAGGAUGUUUGCCCUAGAAAUUUUUUACUUACAAUGUUAUUAAUAUUUCUGAUGAUUUGCAAUUUAUUCCUUCUUCUGAUUCUGUUAGUAACAAGAAGAUAUUCUUAUGAAUCAAUACACUACUUGCUUAGUUUCACAAUCUUUUAUUUUUCUUUUGUGAAACUUGCUUAAUUUCACAAUCUUUUGGUUUUCUUUUUGGAAUAUUUAGUACUAUCCUCUUCUCCACCUUACUCUAUGCAUCAGGUUCAGCUGAAAAAGAAGCACAUUUCCUUCAAUUUCAUGACCAUAGGCAAUCUGGGGCACUUGGUACCUCGAUAUCAUUGGUUCCCAUACCAUUGGGCAUUGUCGGCAUUUCAAGAAAAUGAGUACUGGAGAAGUUGGAAUGGGAGGUUACCUUAUACAUCCAUGGUCUUGCUGCUAGAGGGGUGCAUUACUUUCAUCGGCCUGGACCAAUUCUUCAGGAAAUCAGCUUCUAUAUUCUUCCGGUUGGUUUUCUUGUUUUUGCUUUCCUUCUUCCCCAUUAUUGUGGCAGAUGCAUACUGACCUUUUUUUGUUUGGAUAAAAAUUCCAGUGGCUUGGA